ensembl:lncRNA
CAACUGAAUUUUUAAACACAAAACUUUCAUUUUUUUAAAUAAACAGACUUAUAUUUUGUUUUUUAUUUAAUUUUUAAAGACAGAGUUAGCCUACUUUAAUCCUGUUGCUCCAGUACUAAACAUUUUAUUUAAAUUUUAGGGCAGUGUUUAAACGGGCAGGCUGCUCUGUCACCAGCAAAGGUGGCCACUCUCUGCAGCGAAUCGCACCUGUUGUUCCCUUCGAUACUUCAUGUGUAACGUAGACUAACCCAGAGCCGUUGAAAAACAGAGUUGCGAGACUGCCAUAGGAACUUUAGAAUGCGGAAGUAACGCGUGUCGUGGAGCAGCCAAUAGUUCCAAACACUGAUAGUUCCAGCGCUGAACUUCACACAUUUUCAAUGUUUCUGAAGUACGCUCGCUGGAGGUGAAAAACAAGUCUAAACCAAGACUUAAACUUAGAUAAAGUAAUUGUCAGUAAUUUAAGUUCCAGCUGUCGAACAGGAUGGAUUAUCGGUGGGGAGUGGAGCAGUGGCCAGGCUGGGGGAGCUUGUGGUUCCUGUAAGCAAUGGAGUGAUGAUGAAGCUGGUUUAAAUUUGAACAGUGGGGUGCUGAAGCUGGUGGGGUGAUGGUGAGGCUAUCAUGGCAUGAAGGAAGCCUGCUGUCCAAGAGCCUACCCUCUCUCUCCAGCAUAUCCAUGGCAUUUGGAUCCAUAAAGGAGCCACUGGUCCUAGUUCGGAACAGCUCCUCAAUUUGCCGGACUAAAUCGAAGGCCUCUUGUGACGGCCGACAAAGUACACCUGGCUUGAACUCUUUCAGCUUCAGUAAAACACUGUGAUUUCCUUCAGGACUGUCAUCAUUGUGCUUAAUUGCACUUUGGCAACCCUCACAAAUCUUGGAAUAUUUAAUCACUUAAUUGAUAUUCACUUGUUGUGCAUGUACAGUACAGGUCAAAAGUUUGGAAACAUUACUAUUUUUAAUGUUUUUGAAAGAAGUCUCUUCUGCUCAUCAAGCCUGCAUUUAUUUGAUCAAAAAUACAGAAAAAACAGUAAUAUUGUGAAAUAUUAUUACAACUUAAAA